UGCGGUCGGGGCCGCGCGGCGGAGCGGCUGGAGCGCGCGCCUCCUAGCGGAGCCGGGGCAAUUGGAAGGCCGCGCCUCAGGAAAACAGGAUGGUAGUGAAUGGCACCGAGCCGCCCCAGGGCUGCCGCCGUCACCUCCUCGGCGGCUCCGAGUCGUGCGAGGCAGGGGACCCUUUGCCUUCAGAACAGGGCGCCCGACGUUGGGCGCGUGGACAGAGUCCUCCGGCGGCCGCGCCGCUGGGCCAGGCGGAGAGAGGCGGACGGACUUCAGGGGAGGCCCGGGCCACGCCGCGGAAACUACCCGACUCCCUGGAGGCGGCCAGGACCGACCCUGUCCCGACAAAAUGGAGUUCCCCGUGUGGCUUCAGCUCGCGGCGCGUUCCCAGAGCUCCUCAGUGAUCCGGCUUUCGGAUUGUUCGCCUUUCAUCUCAUUUGCCGUUGUCCAAAUUCUAAUUUAAAACUCAUGUGUUACUUGCUGUAAGGUUAACAAACGUACACCGCAAACUGGAUAAAGGGAUAACUUUUAUGUUGUGUAUGUUUUACCACAAUAAAAAUAAAUUUUGUAAAAAUGUGUCAGGCAGCAUUCUGAGGAGCUUCCCUGGGGGGUGCUGGGAACACCCUGCAAACAGCCUCCGAUACGGGGAGCCGGUGGAUACCAUCCUUUUCCAGGGAGGGAGGCCAAGGCCUAGGGAAAUGGCAGGGCUGCCUUCCAAAGAGUAGCAGAGCGGGUUCAGGCUUUUAUUCCACCUUCCAGAGAGACACAUACUGCGGGAACCCUAACUCCAGGAAGCUUUGUUCUAG
rnacentral:lncRNA from 1 species